rnacentral:rRNA from 1 species
GACGAACGCUGGCGGCGUGCCUAAUACAUGCAAGUAGAACGCUGAAGGAGGAGCUUGCUCUUCUGGAUGAGUUGCGAACGGGUGAGUAACGCGUAGGUAACCUGCCUGGUAGCGGGGGAUAACUAUUGGAAACGAUAGCUAGUACCGCAUAAGAGUAGAUGUUGCAUGACAUUUACUUAAAAGGUGCAAUUGCAUCACUACCAGAUGGACCUGCGUUGUAUUAGCUAGUUGGUGGGGUAACGGCUCACCAAGGCGACGAUACAUAGCCGACCUGAGAGGGUGAUCGGCCACACUGGGACUGAGACACGGCCCAGACUCCUACGGGAGGCAGCAGUAGGGAAUCUUCGGCAAUGGACGGAAGUCUGACCGAGCAACGCCGCGUGAGUGAAGAAGGUUUUCGGAUCGUAAAGCUCUGUUGUAAGAGAACAACGAGUGUGAGAGUGGAAAGUUC